GGAACUACAGUCAGGUCACGCAAGAUCUUUCAGCUUCUAUGUUAAGUGAGAGGAGAAAUUGGAAUAUGAAAUUCUAAAACCAAAGGAGCUUGGACCACAACUAAGGAUCAACUACCCAGCAAAAUUGAGUAUAAUUUUCCAGGUCUUGUUGGUUCUGCUUACUCAACCUCCCUGACAGCGUUCCCUUUUUACAUAUGCAGUGCAACCACCCAGCCCCACAUUGUGUUUGAGUGUAACUCAGCACAUGAAAGAGAAAAUUGACCAGAGUGGAUUGAAUGAAGAUGAAUUCCUUUGUCCAGAUUGUUGGAGGUAUCCGAGUCCCAUGAUCAAGCCAUGUUCUCAAGAGAAGGAGUUGAAGACAUUUAGCCUACCUCCUCACUAAUUGUUCACCUAUCAAGGUUGUUUUCCAUCUGUCAGGGCACCUCUUUAUCCAAAGGCAUUUAACC